rnacentral:rRNA from 1 species
CUUGGUGAGUAUAUCUACGGAGGUACACCUGGAUCCAUUUCGAACCCAGAAGUUAAGCCCGUAAACGCUGAAAGUACUCGGAGGGCAGCCUCCCGGGAUGAUAGGAACUUGCCAAGC